rnacentral:rRNA from 1 species
UACGUAGGGUGCGAGCGUUAAUCGGAAUUACUGGGCGUAAAGCGUGCGCAGGCGGUUCGUUAUGUCCGAUGUGAAAGCCCCGAGCUCAACUUGGGAAUGGCAUUGGAAACUGGCGGGCUGGAGUGUGGCAGAGGGGGGUGGAAUUCCACGUGUAGCAGUGAAAUGCGUAGAGAUGUGGAGGAACACCGAUGGCGAAGGCAGCCCCCUGGGCUGAGAUUGACGCUCAGGCACGAAAGCGCGGGGAGCAAACAGG